rnacentral:rRNA from 2 species
UGGAUCUCAAAUCAGACAAGGCGACCCGC